GAGCGGCAGGCAGGAUGACAUUCUGACCAAUCCGUACAGCCAAGAGACCGUUUUAAAGAAUUUAGAACAGAAAAAUCAAUUCAAGAGUCCAAGUUCCCAAAACGUCGUGUUGAAGAGAGGUCUAUCUAGCUCUGAUAGAUAUGUGUACAGAAGCCUGACCAGGGUCUAACUGGACCACUUCAUGGAAGAUCUAACCCACAAUUACUCUAGAUAAAUAAAGAAAGACAUGACCAA
rnacentral:sRNA from 1 species